rnacentral:rRNA from 1 species
AGCGAACAUUGGCGGUAGGCUUAACACAUGCAAGUCGAGCGAGGCGUAAUAGUCGAGCGGCGAACGGGUGCGUAAUACAUGGGAAUCUACCUUGAAGUGGGGGAUAACGUCCAGAAAUGGACGCUAAUACCGCAUAAUCCACAUUGGGAAAGCGUUGCAGCGCUUUAAGAUGAGCCCAUGGCUGAUUAGCUAGUUGGUGAGGUAAUGGCUCCCAAGGCGACGAUCAGUAGCUGGUCUGAGAGGAUGAUCAGCCACACUGGAACUGAGACACGGUCCAGACUCCUACGGGAGGCAGCAGUGGGGAAUCUUGCGCAAUGGGGGCAACCCUGACGCAGCCAUACCGCGUGAGUGAUGAAGGUCUUCGGAUUGUAAAGCUCUUUCGGCGGGGACGACGAUGACGGUACCCGCAAAAGAAGUCACGGCUAACUUCGUGCCAGCCGCCGCAGUAA